UAUCACUUAAAACGAUUCAGAAGCUUACGAUUGACGGAGCGAAGCGACGUCAAAGCGUAUACAAAGUCGAGUCGGUUUAAGGAUACGUUCGUUGGGUAGGGGAGCGUUCUGUAAGCCGUUGAAGGUGUCCUGUGAGGGGUGCUGGAGGUAUCAGAAGUGCGAAUGCUGACAUAAGUAACGAUAAAGCGGGUGAAAAGCCCGCUCGCCGGAAGACCAAGGGUUCCUGUCCAACGUUAAUCGGGGCAGGGUGAGUCGACCCCUAAGGCGAGGCCGAAAGGCGUAGUCGAUGGGAAACGGGUUAAUAUUCCCGUACUUGGUGUUACUGCGAAGGGGGGACGGAGAAGGCUAUGUUGGCCGGGCGACGGUUGUCCCGGUUUAAGCGUGUAGGUGUGUGUUCCAGGUAAAUCCGGUUCACUUUAACACUGAGGCGUGAUGACGAGGCACCACGGUGCUGAAGCAACAAAUGCCCUGCUUCCAGGAAAAGCCUCUAAGCAUCAGGUAACAUCAAAUCGUACCCCAAACCGACACAGGUGGUCAGGUAGAGAAUACCAAGGCGCUUGAGAGAACUCGGGUGAAGGAACUAGGCAAAAUGGUGCCGUAACUUCGGGAGAAGGCACGCUGACAC
rnacentral:rRNA from 1 species